AAUGGUACAGUGAAGGCCAGCCCUGUCCUGAACCCUGAUUGGUUAUGGGCACACAAGAUAACUGCCCUCUCUUACUAAUCUUGAAUUGGUCAGGCUCAUUGGUCAGGCUUUACUUUAAAUGGCUUUCCAUUGCUAAACAUUUUCUGGCAGUUGAAGAAAAAGGCUUCUAAGCAUUGGACUACGUUUUGGGAUCAUUCAGAUUCAGUAUAGCUGGAGACUGGUUUGACCAUGGACUCUCCAUUGUGGAGUCCCCCAGGGGUCGGUCUUGUCCCCCAUGCUUUUCAACAUCUACAUGCAACCGCUGGGUGCGGUCAUCAGGAGUUUUGGAGUGCGUUGCCAUCAAUAUGCUGAUGAUACUCAGCUCUAUUUCUCCUUUUCAUCUUCUUCAGGGCACUCCAAGAGAAGUUGCAUAUCUACACUUGAGGAGUGUAAAUAAUUUAAACGAACAAUGUCAGCUCCCAUCAUCCCUUCACGUUGGCCAUGCUGGCUGGGGCUGAUAGGUGUUUGAAGAUAUUUGGAAAAAUAUUUGG